rnacentral:lncRNA from 1 species
UGAGUUAUGUCAUCAAGGUAUUAGUACUUAACCAAUAUAAAAAUUAAAUGAAGAAUAUUGAAUAUUUUCUGAACUUUUAUUAAAUUGAACCCUACCUUUAUCUUUAAAUCAUCUAACUUUCAUAUGGACAGGUGUAUUGUUACUUUCAUCUUUCAUUUAUUGAUUUUUUUUCUUUAAUAUUGUACUACUAUUGAGUGUC